rnacentral:rRNA from 1 species
GGACUACUGGGGUAUCUAAUCCCGUUCGCUCCCCUGGCUUUCGCCCCUCAGCGUCAGUCUGCCUCCCAGGACACUGCCUUCGCCUUUGGUAUUCCUCCGGAUCUCUACGCAUUUCACCACUCCACCCGGAAUUCUAUGUCCCUCUGAGGCCCUCAAGUCCCACCGUCUUCCCGGCACUCCUCGCGUUAAGCGCGAGACUGGCACCGGAAACGCGCAGGACCGCCUACGGGCCCUUUACGCCCAGUAACUCCGGACAACGCUCGCCCCCUACGUAUUACCGCGGCUGCUGGCAC